UCCACCGAGACCCGCACGCUUCAAGGCGCCAGUCUUGCAACGACUGUCCAGAAGUCCAGUGCCUUCUCCGGACACCGCGAGCGGUCUCCCGGACUCCGGUUGACAAGCAGGUUCCCAGACUUGCUUCCCUGAGAGUCAGCCAAUCGGUUCAGGGAGAUGCGUGGCGAUUUCCUUUAUUAGGGAGGCGAUGGCUGUGACCGACGAGGAUCGCAGGUUUGGGAAAGAAAUGGCCCCAAAGCCCAGAGAGCUUAGACCCCUUGGGUCUAUGGAGUCCAGGACCCGCACUGGAGCUUUGCUGCUGCACGGCUACCGGAAGUGGCGCUUGUUUCCCUGGGGUGGAGCUGAGGCCAGACCCCAGGUCUUCGAGCCACGGGCACGGAUACCCUGGAUAACUAACUUGCCCUCCGCGAGGCUGCGGUGAAAGACGUUCUGAGGGUGUUGUAGCAAGGACUGUGCUGGGGUAGGGCCCCUCCUGCCGUCUCCUAAGAAGGCCCCGGCGAGGACACUGCUGCUCUGGGGACUGCCAAACCGCAGCAAAUCAGACCCUCCCAGCAGCUCUGCAAAGCAGACCCUGCGAUUUCAAAACAGGGAGGCUGAAAGAACAUUCUAGCACCCACCUGUGGUCUCUCCCAUUUCAGGCUAGGCCACAUCUAAUCCUGCCAAGGAGAUGAAUUGCUAGUAUCAUUGGAAGACGACCCCCUGCCCAGUGAGAAUUUUAGAUGUCUAGAGUCCCUGUGGAGGAACUGAUGUGGUCAAAAGCAGAUAUACUGGGUCAGGCUGACCUGAAAGCGGCUUUACGGGGUUACAUGGGGAAGUGAAAGCUGGUGCGCACACCUGACUAUACGCAGCACCAGCCUGCAGAGCUAGCUUCCGGCAUGACCUUGUAACUGAUCGCCACUGACUGACUCCAGGCUGGAGUCCCUAUUCCUGAAGCUGCCUUCAAGAGCUGGCAGGUGCGGUCCACGGUUCCAAGCAUGGUGGCCCAAGUAUCCUCCGUCCUCACUCCUCCCGACACUGCUCGAGGCUCACGCUCGGUCUACACAAGGAGGUGCAGCACAAGGCUGCAAACUCAAAGUCGCUCUCAACCUGGGUCAAGAGCUGAAUUUCCAUCCCUUCGUCUUGCCGGCAGUGUGAUUCUGAGUACUCCCUGGACCAGACUCCUUUUGCAGCGAGGCCGGUGCCAAGGGGGUGGCUACUUGUGUUCCCAGGAAGCACACAGAGCAGGAAGUGUGCAAGCAGGAGCAGAGGCAGCUGGGAUUUCUGUGAGGCUAAGCCCUAUUGUCAGGGUCAUGGACUUAGAGAUACCCACUGCCUCUAUUGUCAGGGUCAUGGACUUAGAGAUACCCACUGCCUUUGACUUUGUUACAUCAACAGUUUCCCUUUUAAAAAUAAAAUGUACAUAGCAUAAAAUUUAUCAUUUUAA